AUUGCUGUAGAUUCAGACAGAUUGUGUGUCUAGUAGCAUACUGUAUGCAACUGGUUUCUUUCUGCUUUUUGACAAUUCUAUAAGCAAGGCGUGUGGCCAGUAAAGGCAGUUAUUCAGAAUGUAGUUCAAUAGUUUUAUUCAUGGUUGAUAUGUGCUUCUCUUACAUUUUCCUGAGAAGAAAAAAAAUACACAGACAUCCCUUUCAAUAGAACUAGAGGGGAAAGUGGUAGGAAAGUAAAUAUUCAAUCUGUUGGUAAGUGAUAAACGUGCAUGACCUAGGGUCAAUCUCUGUCGCAGUCUAUGCUUGUAUGAUGCUCUACCAAACCAUCCUCACAUCACCUACCUCAACCCGUAUAUAUUGUGAGACAUUCUGCAUAAAAAAAAAAAAAGAAAGUACAUCUCAUAGAUCACAUGACCUGUUUUGAAGCAAGUUAAAGAACAGAGAGCUAAUUUGAAAGUGUUGGUAGCUUCCAUUCAGUGUUUGGGAUUUGUGUUGGGUUUUUUAAUGCUGAAGUGAGGACAUUUAUUGAAUGUUACAAUUAUAUAUAUAUAUUUUUUUUUUUAUAUUUUAGGUCUAGUGUCUGUACAUUUCAUAACUGUUUUAAUGGACACUAUUAAUCUGAUUGAUGUAGAAGGGGUUAAUUAAAUGUCUUGCAUUUGGCUCUUGUUGGGCUGGUUUAUGCUACAUGAACGUAAUGCAGUCAUUAUGCAUAACAAUGGAACUGAGGCACAAUAAGUUUUUGUGUCUACAGAUAAGAUUUGCUUUGAAAAGGUGGCAGUAAUCCGUAACUAUGACACUACCUACCAUUAGCAAGCUACUUAUAGUAUGAACAUUUUACAACAAUGUCAGACCUACCAAAUUCCAAAAUUAUUGUUCCUUUUACGAAUUAAAACCUCAUCAGUCAGAAAGAACCGCUCUAGCUGGUCACUUCUGUUAGGCCAACUCCCCUGACUUGUUUCAAUAUUUGAGUGGUCUGAUAAAAAUCCAGGUCGAUGUAGGACUCUUGACUUCAUAUUUGUAGGAUUAUAAGAGGCUGGGAUAUGGCCAGCCUAACAUUUAUCGCCGGUCACUGAAAACUUGUUUGAUGGGUAAUGGGGUUGUUCCUUCUGCAUUAGCAAAGUCACAGGAAAGGUUCAAACCAGAGCAAUAGUACCCAGACUAUUUGAAAAAUACCGACACUCUGCUGUAGUGGUUAUGAUACUCAUUGUCCUUAAUGUUCCCGUGACAUUAUUCCAGAAAUACUAAACAUUUUUCAAAGGAUGUCUUUCACUUUACAUGGAUGUUUGACCUUUCUGAUGGUUUUAAUUGGGUUGUAGGCACCUCAAUAGCAAUAUAUUUUAAGUAUAGAUUCAUUGAUCUGAAAUACUAUUUAAGUAUCAUAACCUCUUUUUGAACCAAGAGAUGCGCACACACUUGUAUACUAUAUACUAUAUAAAUCAUGAUUAAGAGGCAAGUACCACUGCACGAAUCAUCCAUUAGGAUCUGUGCCUAAUUAUAAUAAAAAGUACCAAUAAAACACUGUUUAUAAGUGGUACAUGAAUGGGGCCUGUGACUUUUAAAUCCAGAUUGUGAAUUUAGCUUCACUAUCUAAAACUAAUUCAUUAUUUUUCAGAUGUCCUGAAAGAAAACGACUAUGUAGGUAUGGGACAUAUCCGCACCAGUGUUGUUGUAAGCAAUAAUUUGGUUAUUUUAAAGCAGAUUGAGUCAUUCUUUAGCUGCAGACAAAGAGAAUGUAAUUUAGGGACAAUUAUUCAACUUAAACUAUUUGUUGCUGUAUAGUUGGUGUUUUAAAUAUUACUGGUUUGCUGGCUGCAUCUUAGUCUAUAGUUCGGUGUACAAUUAUCAGAAAUUUUGUUUUAAAACAGGACUGGCAUUCAGUUUGCUUACAUCCAAAACCUCUCUCCAUUUCAUUGCAAAAAGGCAGAUAUGAUCAAUCGGAAAGGAUUGCUGCCUUCAUUACAUUGCCAGAAGUUAAAGGGUUACUUCAACCACAGUGUUUUAAUUGAACAGCUUAUAGAUGGACUAAGCUUUGCUGGAAUGAUACUACCUGAAUAGACACUUACCUGCGAUCCCGCUCUGUGUCCAAGUUCUCCUUUCCACCUGAUCCUCACAUGGUGAUUUUACUCCAUCACUUUAUUGGACAGGCUGAGUGGAGGACUUAGGGACAAUGCCAUCGUUGGUCAUCUGGCUGCAGCAUGCUAUGUGUGCACAAUGUUAACAGUAGCAAGCCUAGAACAAUUGUUCAGGGCUGGUUAAUGGUACUGCUGUAUAUGGACAUCCCUGGCAGCAAUGUGCGAUAUCACUGCUUCAAACUUAAAAUUCUGCACAUGCAGGCUCAACGCAUCAUGACCACUUCAAAAUACUGAAGUGGUCAUGGUGUUUGCAGUGACCCUAGAAUAAAUAAGUUGUAUAGUUUAAAUAGGCAUGUACCCUGAAUACAGCUUAUUUUAACUACCACUGUAUUGAAUUCUACAUCACUUAACCAGCUGUCCAGUACUGAAUACUGGUAGGCGUUUAAGAUAAGUACCGAUUACAUGGCAGAGCAUUUGAUUAAACUAUGGCAAGUAGCACAGACCUUCCAUAAUCAAAAUCUUUGAUUUAAAACCAACUUUUACGUGGUAUACCCUAAAACAGAGGUGCCCAAAAGGUAGAUCCCCAGAUGUUUUAAAAUUAUAGCUUCCAUGAUGCUUUGUCAUUCUAAAGGCAUGCAAAGUACUAUGGUAGUUAUAUUUCUACAACAUCAGAGGAUCUACCUUUUUGGGCAACCCUGCCCUAAAGUCACUGUGAUACAUCACAUUUCCAUUGCAAUUUGCUACAUCUUGUGUUAGCCACAUAUUAAUUGGUAGAGAUUUAUAGAGAUAUCAUAUAGCUAAUGUCAAUGCUAGUCACUUGACAGUUUUUGUUCCCUUACCGGAAAUGGUAUAUAUAGACUCAAGUACAAAAUAUUCUGGUGAAUGUCAAAUGGGCCAUAGAAUGUCUAUUUGGCUUUCAUAAAGGUAGCCACAUGGUUUGUGAUCACUAUAGGUAUUACUGCUGCACCCCUUCUUUAUUUUUUACCUCUGUAUUUUAGAGGGAGAACACUGGAUUAUUAUUUUAGCUGCAUAUAGUGCUCCAACGUAUUUGUAAUUGGUUUCAACUAGUAAUUCCUUUCUAUAAAAAGAUUGAUGGGAAGAGAGAUGAGUUGCAACAACUCUACAAGACUACCACAUCAAAGUAGCAAAUCAAACAUUGUUAAAGGGAUACUAGACAGCUUUAGCUUAAUGCGGUGGUUUUGGUGUAUAGCUCCUGCCCCUGCAGUCUCAAAUGUAACAGCACAGUGUGUUACUUUCUAAGUGAUUUUAUCCAUUUCUGUUAACUAAAAUUUACUCACACAAAGCUUCUGAAGGUUAUAGCAGAUAAUUAACAAAAACAUUUAAAACUAAUAUUAAACACCUUAUGACUUACAGGAAGUUUAAAAAUUAGAUCUCUCUGCAGGAAGUCUAUAUGGAAACAGUGUGACUGCAGGGGCAAGAUCUAUAAACCAAAACCACUUAUUUAAGGUAAAGUUGUUUUAGUGCUAAUAGUGUUCCUUUAGUCACAUUUUUAUAGCACUUUAUUGCCAUAGACUUUUCACCCUAUAGAUUGUGUCAUGUUCACAUAAUUGCAAUUUGUUUUUUUACUUUACCAAAAGGCUAAGAAUGUUAAAAUAUAACUGCCUUUGAUACAUCUUCAAUAUUCCUUAGUGGCUCCCAGGAUAGAACCACUGCUCUAUAGGUAGAGACAUGGUGAAACAAUGUAAAAUUGAUAUGCAUUUUGUGCAAAGGCUUAGAUUACAAAUGUAUCCACUAAAUAGUGAACUGCACUUGUGUCAAAUUAAACAGAAUGUUUUCUAUACAGCUUUCAUUUUGGCUAAAAACAUUGCAGUUCAUGUUAAUUUACUGUUUAGUAAAUACAGUCCUCAGAUUUAUAAAUAAGAAUGGAACAGUAAGCAUUUGGUCUACUCUGCCUUUGUCAAGAGCAGACCAUUGUGACACCUUUUUUGCACAAAUAACCAAUGGCCAACUCUUUAACCACCUUCCUUAGUAAUGUUCUCUUCCAAUCUUACUGGGUUGUUGGGUGAUUUCAUUAGAAUCUUGUCAAACUGCUCCUGUUACACUGUGUGAUAUCAGACUUGGGAUUAAAAACCAUGUUAACACAAACUAUAUUAAUUAAGCCUGGAUUCAUGUGUUUUCUGUGGCUAAAUGAGUAAUGCCUUGAGGAUUUCACCAGGCUUCAUAAAAAUAAACAUUUUCUUCCAUUUAAGUUGGACUGGGAAUAUGUACUCCAAUCAUUUCAAUACACAUUAGUAUAUGCUGGUCAUUUUUAAAUCUCAUUCACACAUAUCCUUUGCCCAACGGCCUGUGUGUAGUAGUGACUCUGUCCUAGUUAAUUUCCUUUGAAAUGGAUAGCUGACAGGGCUGUGGAUUGUUGGAUACAAAGUAAUGUUUAUCCAUGUUCUUGAAGAGGAAAAAUUGUGUAAUUGGGAGGGGGUAGAAGUCAUGUUUUUAUGAGUUUUGUAAAUCUCUACUCUUU